UACGUAGGUGGCAAGCGAUACUCGGAAUCACUCGGCGUAAAGCGCAUGUAGGCGGUUUGGUAAGUCUUUUGUGAAAGCUCCUGGCUCAACUGGGAGAGGUCAAGGGAAACUACCGGACUAGAGUGUGGUAGGGGAUACUGGAAUUCCUGGUGUAGCGGUGAAAUGCGUAGAUAUCAGGAGGAAUACCUAUGGCGAAAGCAGGUAUCUGGGCCAUCACUGACGCUGAGCUGCGAAAGCUAGGGGAGCAAACAGG
rnacentral:rRNA from 1 species